rnacentral:lncRNA from 10 species
CGCUCUGUCGCCCAGGCUGGAAUGCAGUGGCCAGAUCUCAGCUCACUGCAAGCUCCGCCUCCCGGGUUCACGCCAUUCUCCUGCCUCAGCCUCCCUAGUAGCUGGGACUAUCAGGUUCAAGAGAUUCUCCUGUCUCGGCCUCCUGAGUAGCUGGGAUUACAGGUGCCCACCACCACACCUGGCUAAUUUUUAUAUUUUUAGUAAAGAUGAGGUUUCACUAUGUUGGCCUCUGUUUGGCAGUGUAUGGG